rnacentral:rRNA from 1 species
GACAGAGGGUGCAAACGUUGUUCGGAUUUACUGGGCGUAAAGCGCACGUAGGCGGAUCGUUAAGUCGGGGGUGAAAUCCUGGAGCUCAACUCCAGAACUGCCUUCGAUACUGGCGAUCUUGAGUCCGGAAGAGGUGAGUGGAACUCCGUAGUGUAGAGGUGAAAUUCGUAGAUAUUCGGAAGAACACCAGUGGCGAAGGCGGCUCACUGGACUGGUAUGACGCUGAGGUGCGAAAGCGUGGGGAGCAAACAGG